rnacentral:rRNA from 1 species
AGAGUUUGAUCCUGGCUCAGGACGAACGCUGGCGGCGUGCCUAAUACAUGCAAGUCGAGCGGAUUGAUGGGAGCUUGCUCCCUGAUAUCAGCGGCGGACGGGUGAGUAACACGUGGGUAACCUGCCUGUAAGACUGGGAUAACUCCGGGAAACCGGGGCUAAUACCGGAUAACUCAUUUCCUCGCAUGAGGAAAUGUUGAAAGGUGGCUUUUAGCUACCACUUACAGAUGGACCCGCGGCGCAUUAGCUAGUUGGUGAGGUAACGGCUCACCAAGGCGACAAUGCGUAGCCGACCUGAGAGGGUGAUCGGCCACACUGGGACUGAGACACGGCCCAGACUCCUACGGGAGGCAGCAGUAGGGAAUCUUCCGCAAUGGACGAAAGUCUGACGGAGCAACGCCGCGUGAGUGAUGAAGGUUUUCGGAUCGUAAAGCUCUGUUGUUAGGGAAGAACAAGUGCCGUUCGAAUAGGGCGGCACCUUGACGGUACCUAACCAGAAAGCCACGGCUAACUACGUGCCAGCAGCCGCGGUAAUACGUAGGUGGCAAGCGUUGUCCGGAAUUAUUGGGCGUAAAGCGCGCGCAGGUGGUUUCUUAAGUCUGAUGUGAAAGCCCACGGCUCAACCGUGGAGG